UUGGCGGCCGGGUCGAUCUCGCGAGUGAUCACCAGAUAGUUGCGUAGCGCGAUGGCGUGCAGGUGCUC
rnacentral:sRNA from 1 species